UUUAUAUCUCAAUAAUCUUUAAUCUACAUAUUUCUUCCAAACUUGAUCUGAUUAUGCCAAGACUGAUGGUUUGAAUACCCUCUUUUUGCACAUUUUUAUUCCUACAGGGUAUUCAAAAGCUGUAUGAAAGCCUUUAAAAAAUUUAACAGUUCGUUUUUUAGAGCACUAACUGACUUGACUUGACUGCUAACAGCGUUGAUUUUUUUAUUUUUUCUGCAGUCGCCGUUCGCAGUUUCCCAGCUAAUUCAAUUUCCUGGCCAUUUGGCAUUGUGUUUGGGACAAGUCUUGUGUUGUCUUUUGUUACAGUUACAAUUUUCCCAACGUCAGCAGUUAAACAGUUUGCAUAUUGUGCAACAAUAACAAUCAUGAAAAGUAGCCGCAAAGCGGGUUGGGGUGGGGUGUCGAGGGCUGCUCUUGUUUCUUGGCUUGUCGGCCACUAAAAUUGUCGUCGAAAUUAAAUGCUUAGUUGAGCUGACAAGCGCCGAUGACAGUUGCACAAUGUCCGCCACAGCAACAACUGUCAGCUGUGUGUGUGUGUGUGUGUGUGAGAGAGAGUCGUAAGCGAUGUGGCAACGCCAAUUUAUGUCGCAUGCAUCUUUGAACGCUGACAAGUGGCAUGAGAAAAGCAUGCGAAAAAGCAGCAUGAGAAAAGUUUUUGCAAGUGAUUGCUUGGGGGCCUGCAUUUUGGGAUUUGAUAUGAGCCCGAGGCUCUUUUUAAAAUGUAGCAGAAAAGCUAGGUUAGCGAAAGGGAGGGCUAAAUGUGACAUUUAGGGAAUUACGAAUUGCUUGGGACAUGCUUACUAUGAGUGACUUUUUGGGGUCAUUUGUGCAUUAACUGAUACUGUAAGUAAUUGGGUUCAUUAGAAGCCAGCUAAACAUUCACGAAUGUGGCGUAAGGAGCAAUAGUAAAAGAAAAAGCCUUUUAUUGUUUGCUUGCGUGAGUGUUUAAAACAUUUAGGAAUUGACAGAGAUUUUAUAUAUAUUAAAUGCCUGCAUCGGAGUUUUAAAACGUUUACGAAAGUGAUGCUAAAAGGCUCCUUAAAUUUGGUUGCAUGAGUGACUUAAAACUUUAACGAUUGUGACAGAGGAUUCGUUAAAACAAGAAGCUCUUUAGUGUUCUAAUUUUCCAUAUCUUUUUUAGAGGCAAUGAAACGAAUGCGCUACUUAAAUUAAAUGAAAUGCCAAACAUGCAUGUAAUAAAUCGAAUAUAUGAUGCCAAGAGUCGAUACUAUCGAAUACCAGUGCCCUGAUGUAUCGAUACUUAAAAUGAAGUUCAUCUUUGAUUUAUCUGAUUUAAACCAACACUCUAGCAUUCGUCCCUGCUACAAUUUGCACGUGAACGGCCGUUCUAUUCAAAAAGCAGGAGCAAACUUGUACAAAUUAGUCACUGGCUGUGCUGUAGAGAUGACUAAAUACGUCAAAGUCAAAACUUCAUACGCACUGACCACCAUUCAUUUGCUCACUUUUACAGCAACCGAAUGGAGGAGGUUGACAUUUAUGUAUAUUGUUUGGUCAAUCAGAAAAGCCGUCCCGAGUGGCCAGUCGUCCAUCCGUCAGUAGGCACUCAAUCAAGUUUUUCAAGGGGCCAUCAAUGCCACUGAAAGCCACACUCAAUUACACGCACUUAACACAAUGCCAAAAUGCAGACCAUAACGAUGAGCGAUAAGGACGAUGAUGAUAUUGAUGUUGAUGAUGAUAAGAAUAAAAUUGCCUGACGAUAUAUGUAUUUUUUUUGCAACAAGCUGACAAUUGUCAAUAUUGUCAGAGAUGAAGAUUUUGACACGAGAUAUAAAAGCCGAAAAGCUGCAAGUGGCAAAAAUGCGCCAAUUAUCGCAUAUGCAAUAACAAAAGGCUUUCCCCACACAGACCAAAAUAAAAUAAUAAAGCAAAAUUAUUAUCGCCUCUGAACAACAAUGAAAGAUGGAAGCAGCUGAGCAACGCGAUUGGCUCUGAGCCUGACAAAGAGGCUAAAAAAAA